UACAGAGGUCCCAAGCGUUGUUCGGAUUCACUGGGCGUAAAGAGUGUGUAGGCGGUGCUCCAAGUCUGUUGUGAAAUCUCCCGGCUUAACUGGGAGGGUGCGGCGGAAACUGGAAUGCUAGAGGGUGGGAGAGGUAAGCGGAAUUCCUGGUGUAGCGGUGAAAUGCGUAGAUAUCAGGAGGAACACCUGUGGUGUAGACAGCUUACUGGACCACUUCUGACGCUGAGACACGAAAGCGUGGGUAGCAAACAGG
rnacentral:rRNA from 1 species